GGGGGACAUUGCAAGAGGCUCUGGGUCACCUCCCACCCGUGUUUAUCGUACCUUGUUGCUUCGGCGGGCCCGCCUCACGGCCGCCGGGGGGCAUCCGCCCCCGGGCCCGCGCCCGCCGAAGACACACAAACGAACUCUUGUCUGAAGAUUGCAGUCUGAGUACUUGACUAAAUCAGUUAAAACUUUCAACAACGGAUCUCUUGGUUCCGGCAUCGAUGAAGAACGCAGCGAAAUGCGAUAAGUAAUGUGAAUUGCAGAAUUCAGUGAAUCAUCGAGUCUUUGAACGCACAUUGCGCCCCCUGGUAUUCCGGGGGGCAUGCCUGUCCGAGCGUCAUUGCUGCCCUCAAGCACGGCUUGUGUGUUGGGCUCUCGCCCCCCGCUUCCGGGGGGCGGGCCCGAAAGGCAGCGGCGGCACCGCGUCCGGUCCUCGAGCGUAUGGGGCUUCGUCACCCGCUCUGUAGGCCCGGCCGGCGCCCGCCGGCGAACACCAUCAAUCUUAACCAGGUUGACCUCGGAUCAGGUAGGGAUACCCGCUGAACUUAAGCAUAUCAAUAAGCGGAGGAA
rnacentral:rRNA from 1 species